rnacentral:rRNA from 1 species
UGACCUCAAAUCAGGUAGGACUACCCGCUGAACUUAAGCAACA